rnacentral:rRNA from 1 species
GAUGAACGCUGGCGGCGUGCCUAAUACAUGCAAGUCGAGCGAACGGACGAGAAGCUUGCUUCUCUGAUGUUAGCGGCGGACGGGUGAGUAACACGUGGAUAACCUACCUAUAAGACUGGGAUAACUUCGGGAAACCGGAGCUAAUACCGGAUAAUAUUUUGAACCGCUUGGUUCAAAAGUGAAAGACGGUCUCGCUGUCACUUAUAGAUGGAUCCGCGCUGCAUUAGCUAGUUGGUAAGGUAACGGCUUACCAAGGCAACGAUGCAUAGCCGACCUGAGGGGGUGAUCGGCCACACUGGAACUGAGGCACGGUCCAGACUCCUACGGGAGGCAGCAGUAGGGAAUCUUCCGCAAUGGGCGAAAGCCUGACGGAGCAACGCCGCGUGAGUGAUGAAGGUCUUCGGAUCGUAAAACUCUGUUAUUAGGGAAGAACAUAUGUGUAAGUAACUGUGCACAUCUUGACGGUACCUAAUCAGAAAGCCACGGCUAACUACGUG